rnacentral:rRNA from 1 species
AGACUCAGUGAAAUUGAACUCGCUGUGAAGAUGCAGUGUACCCGCGGCAAGACGGAAAGACCCCGUGAACCUUUACUAUAGCUUGACACUGAACAUUGAGCCUUGAUGUGUAGGAUAGGUGGGAGGCUUUGAAGCGUGGACGCCAGUCUGCGUGGAGCCGACCUUGAAAUACCACCCUUUAAUGUUUGAUGUUCUAACGUGGACCCGUAAUCCGGGUUGCGGACAGUGUCUGGUGGGUAGUUUGACUGGGGCGGUCUCCUCCUAAAGAGUAACGGAGGAGCACGAAGGUUGGCUAAUCCUGGUCGGACAUCAGGAGGUUAGUGCAAUGGCAUAAGCCAGCUUGACUGCGAGCGUGACGGCGCGAGCAGGUGCGAAAGCAGGUCAUAGUGAUCCGGUGGUUCUGAAUGGAAGGGCCAUCGCUCAACGGAUAAAAGGUACUCCGGGGAUAACAGGCUGAUACCGCCCAAGAGUUCAUAUCGACGGCGGUGUUUGGCACCUCGAUGUCGGCUCAUCACAUCCUGGGGCUGAAGUAGGUCCCAAGGGUAUGGCUGUUCGCCAUUUAAAGUGGUACGCGAGCUGGGUUUAGAACGUCGUGAGACAGUUCGGUCCCUAUCUGCCGUGGGCGCUGGAAGACUGAGGGGGGCUGCUCCUAGUACGAGAGGACCGGAGUGGACGCAUCACUGGUGUUCGGGUUGUCAUGCCAAUGGCACUGCCCGGUAGCUAAAUGCGGAAAAGAUAAGUGCUGAAAGCAUCUAAGCACGAAACUUGCCCC